GGCUUUAGUCCCGUCUGCCCUUUCUUAAGUCCGGCCCUUUGUUUGCUUAUUUUUGUUUUUACGAAAUUUUGUUUCAUUACUAGAUCUAGAUCUACAUUCUAGUCUUCAAAUAUUUUAAUUUACCGUGUUUACAGUUUAAAUAGUAACUAUUCAGGCUAAUCUAGAAUCUAGAUUCAGCAGAUUGAUUUGGGUUGAUAGAUCUAGAGAGUCUAGAUCUAUCUCAUCUAGAUCUAGAUUUCUUGAGAAACACUGUUGAGUUAUGGCCACGAAUGGCAUGAAAGUUAAAAUUAAAACUGGACAGGAGUAGCAACGUGGAAAUGGAUAGCAAAUGAUGAUAACUGUGGAAUAUGUCGAAUGGCUUUUGAUGGCUGUUGCCCAGAUUGUAAAUUACCAGGAGAUGAAUGCCCUUUGGUUUGGGGUCAGUGCUCCC